UUGAUAACAUUUCCUGAGGUCGCGGCCCGAAACAUUAACUGUUUAUUCAAUUCCAUAGAUGCUGCCUGACCUGCGGAGUUACUCCAGCAUUUUGUGCGCCCGUUGCUGAUUCCCAGCAUCUGCAGAUUUUCUCUGAUUUGGACUAGCCGCAUUUGGAAGCUGAUUGGCUGAAUAAAAAUGUUUUACAAGUGCAAAAUGCUGGAGGAACUCCAGUAGGUCAGGCAUGAUGGUGCAGAGUCUCCGCCCUUAAUGUCAGCAGUCUGACCUGCUUGAUUUCUCCCGCAGUUUGUGUGUGUCGCUCUGGGUUUCCAGCAUCUGCAGAAUCUCCUGUGGGUUUUUUUUUUGUUUCUGUGAGCCGGUUGGACUUUGACUUUUGUCACAGAGUUACUGAGUACAUUGUUUUUGGGAGAUGUCAUGGUACAUUGACCGCUUUGCUCCCUGCCUGACGGGUCUUUGAGCCAGUGGCAGACACGGUCAGAGACUCUGCAGAUGCCGGAAAGCCAAGCGACGCACACACACGCAAGAUGCCGGAGGAACUCAGCAGGCCGGGCAUUUCCCCCCAGCACUUUGUGUUUUGACAUCCAUCAAAGCUCUUAUUUCAAAUUGUAGGCCAGACAUCCUUCUUGAGAUCGGAAAACAUCAGUUGAGGCUUCAAGGUCUAGGCUUCUGUUAAAGGUGAAAACCACAAUUAAAAAAUCUCUCCAAUCACUGCGGCAACGAAGUUGGGAUAAGGAACAGGAAGGACAGGCCCUGAGAAUAUCUUCACUGGAGAUCAGAAGAUCGGCUGCUUGAAGUGUGGGAGGCAUUCACUUCGUCAUCGGACCAGGUUCCUGGCUAGCGGAGACCAACUGUGGGAAGGGAUACACUCAAUCCCCUCAUCUGGUGAUACAGCAGUGAGUUCCAGCAGGGGACAGACCGAUCAUUGUGGGAAGAGACUCAUUCAUUUGUCCCAUCUGAUAAUACACCAGCAAGUUCACAUGGGGAGAGGCCGUUACCAGUUCAGGCAGCGGGAAGGGAUUGACUUCCUGGUAUGGAAACACCAAUGCCUUUGGCCCAGUACAUCAGGAGUAAGGUCCUCCAUUGAACACACCUACAUGAAACCCCGUUACAGGAAAGCAGCAUUCAUCAUCAAAGAUCCUCCACCCAGACCGAGCUCUUUUCUCGCUGCUGCCGCCAGGAAGAAGGCACAAGAGCCUCAGGACUCACACCACCUGGUUCAAGAACAGUUACUACCCCUCAACCAUUAGGCUGUUGAACGAAAGCGUAUAACUUGCCCAUCCAUUGAGAUGUUCCCACAACCAAUGAUCUCACUUUGAGGACCCUUUAUCUUGUUAUUUCGGGUUCUCAUUAUUUAUUAAACGCAAAGAACACUGCAGAUGCUGGGGUCAAAUCAACACGUACAAACAAGCUGGAGGAACUCAGCAGGUCGGGCAGCAUCUGUGAAAAUGAACCGUCAACGUUUCGGGCCGAGACCCUUCGUCAGUCCUGACGACCUGCUGAGUUCCUCCAGCUUAUUUGUACCUGUUUCAUUAUUUAUUGCCAUUUAUUUACAUUAGUAUUCACAGGGUUUGUUGUUAUCUGCACUCUAGCUGAUCUUUCAUUGAUCCUGUUAUAUUUACUGUUCUAUAGAUUUGCUGUGUAUGCCCGCAGGAAAAUGAAUCUCAGGGUUGUAUAUAGUGACAUGUAUGCACUUUGAAAAUAAAAUUUACUUUGAACUUC